rnacentral:rRNA from 1 species
CGAGGACGAACGCUGGCGGCGUGCUUAACACAUGCAAGUCGAACGAGGCUUAGGGAAGAGCUUGCUCGGAACUAAGCCGAGUGGCGGACGGGUGAGUAACGCGUGAAUAAUCUGUCUCAUACAGGGGGAUAACGCAUCGAAAGAUGUGCUGAUACCGCGUAGGACCACGACGGGGCAUCCCGUUGAGGUGAAAGGAGCAAUCCAGUAUGAGGUGAGUUCGCGUCUGAUUAGAUAGUUGGUGAGGUAACGGCCCACCAAGUCAACGAUCAGUAGCCGACCUGAGAGGGUGAUCGGCCACAUUGGGACUGAGACACGGCCCAGACUCCUACGGGAGGCAGCAGUGGGGAAUAUUGGGCAAUGGGCGAAAGCCUGACCCAGCAACGCCGCGUGAAGGAAGAAGGUUUUCGGAUCGUAAACUUCUGUCCUAUAUGAAGAGUAGCAGACGGUAGUAUAGGAGGAAGCCCCGGCUAACUACGUGCCAGCAGCCGC